AGUGAACGCUGGCGGUAGGCCUAACACAUGCAAGUCGAACGGCAGCACAGUAAGAGCUUGCUCUUACGGGUGGCGAGUGGCGGACGGGUGAGGAAUACAUCGGAAUCUACUUUUUCGUGGGGGUUAACGUAGGGAAACUUACGCUAAUACCGCAUACGACCUACGGGUGAAAGCAGGGGAUCUUCGGACCUUGCGCGAUUGAAUGAGCCGAUGUCGGAUUAGUUAGUUGGCGGGGUAAAGGCCCACCAAGGCGACGAUCCGUAGCUGGUCUGAGAGGAUGAUCAGCCACACUGGAACUGAGACACGGUCCAGACUCCUACGGGAGGCAGCAGUGGGGAAUAUUGGACAAUGGGCGCAAGCCUGAUCCAGCCAUACCGCGUGGGUGAAGAAGGCCUUCGGGUUGUAAAGCCCUUUUGUUGGGAAAGAAAAGCAGCAGGUUAAUACCCCGCUGUUCUGACGGUACCCAAAGAAUAAGCACCGGCUAACUUCGUG
rnacentral:rRNA from 1 species